rnacentral:tRNA from 1 species
AAGGUAGGGUGGCCGAGCAGGCGGCGAGCUGUAGCCUCGUUACGGGGGGCGGCCCCCUCCCCCCCAAAA